GGAGGGGGCAAGCGUUGUUCGGAAUUACUGGGCGUAAAGGGCGCGUAGGCGGGAUGUCAAGUUAGGGGUGAAAGGCCUGGGCUCAACCUGGGAACUGCCUCUAAAACUGGCACUCUAGAGUCCGGGAGAGGAUGGCGGAAUUCCCAGUGUAGAGGUGAAAUUCGUAGAUAUUGGGAAGAACACCAGUGGCGAAGGCGGCCAUCUGGUCCGGCACUGACGCUGAGGCGCGAAAGCGUGGGGAGCAAACAGGAUUAGAUACCCUGGUAGUCCACGCCGUAAACGAUGUGUGCUAGCCCGUUGGGGCACGUUGGUGCUUCAGUGGCGCAGCUAACGCGUUAAGCACACCGCCUGGGGAGUACGGUCGCAAGAUUA
rnacentral:rRNA from 1 species